GUGUCACAAAAUUCGAGGAUAGAAAAUGUUAAAAAAAAUUUGAGAGUUACUGACGAGACACAGUGACGGUCUGGUGAUGUGUCCUGUCAAACAGCUACUCCUGCGUAUACUACGAAGUGGGAGACAUAAAAAGAUUAUUUUAUACAUUCUUAAAUUAUUAAAUCCACGUGCUCCUCUCAUACUUAGGCUCUUUUAGACUGUAGAUGAAAAAUUUUUAGGUGUCACAUCGAAUAUAUCGAAAGGAUGUCGGG
rnacentral:lncRNA from 1 species